rnacentral:misc_RNA from 1 species
CAACAAGCGAACAUCAAGGAAGAUUAUAUACUCAUGUCAGAGCCGGAUCAUAUCAUUGUCAAGCCUAUACCAAAUUUGUCUAAGGAUGGGCUUGGGGCUGCAUUUCCUUUCUUUUACAUUGAACCCAAGAAGUACGAGAGUCAACUACGGAAGUUCUUCCCUGAGGACAAGGGUCCGAUUACCAACAUUGAUCCAAUAGGG